rnacentral:rRNA from 1 species
ACAGGUGGUGCAUGGUUGUCGUCAGCUCGUGUCGUGAGAUGUUGGGUUAAGUCCCGCAACGAGCGCAACCCUUAUCUUUAGUUGCCAUCAGGUAAUGCUGGGCACUCUAGAGAGACUGCCGGUGACAAACCGGAGGAAGGUGGGGAUGACGUCAAAUCAUCAUGCCCCUUACUGUCCUGGGCUACACACGUACUACAAUGGCCGGUACAAAGGGCGGCGAAGGGGUGGACCCGGAGCAAAUCCCAGCAAAACCGGUACUCAGUUCGGAUUGUAGUCUGCAACUCGACUACAUGAAGUCGGAAUCGCUAGUAAUCGCAGGUCAGCAUACUGCGGUGAAUACGUUCCCGGGCCUU